GGGGGAAGUUUGGAGAGCCCUAGCCGGAUGUACUUGCUAAUCAAAACAAGAGCUUAAGAAAUGAGGAUGUUGCUUGAAGUAAUAUCUGUGUAAACACUGAAGCUAAAAAUAGGUCAUCAAGAACUGGGUUGAUAAGUAUUUUAACCACAUGAAUGGGGAAAGGUCAAUUUUGAAU